GAUGAACGCUGGCGGCGUGCCUAAUACAUGCAAGUCGAGCGGACGGACGAGAAGCUUGCUUCUCUGAUGUUAUCGGCGGACGGGUGAGUAACACGUGGAUAACCUACCUAUAAGACUGGGAUAACUUCGGGAAACCGGAGCUAAUACCGGAUAAUAUUUUGAACCGCAUGUUUCAAAAGUGAAAGACGGUCUUGCUGUCACUUAUAGAUGGAUCCGCGCUGCAUUAGCUAGUUGGUAAGGUAACGGCUUACCAAGGCAACGAUGCAUAGCCGACCUGAGAGGAUGAACGGCCACACUGGAACUGAGACACGGUCCAGACUCCUACGGUAGGCAACAGUAGGGAAUCUUACGCAAUGGACGAAAGCCUAACGUAGCAACGCCGCGUGAGUGAUGAAGGUCUUCGGAUCGUAAAACUCUGUUAUUAGGGAAGAACAUAUGUGUAAGUAACUGUGCACAUCUUGACGGUACCUAAUCAGAAAGCCACGGCUAACUACGUG
rnacentral:rRNA from 1 species